AGUCGGACGAAGUAGCAAUACUUAGUGGCAGACGGGUGAGUAACACGUAGGUAUCUGCCCUUUGGCCUGGAAUAAGACGAGGAAACUUGUGCUAAUACCGGAUAAGUCUUUACGGAGAAAGCUUUAUGCACCAUUGGAUGAGCCUGCACUUGAUUAGUUUGUUGGUGGGGUAAUGGCCUACCAAGACUGUGAUCAAUAGCUGAUUGAGAGGAUGAUCAGCCACAUUGGGACUGAGACACGGCCCAAACUCCUACGGGAGGCAGCAGUGGGGAAUCUUGCACAAUGGAGGAAACUCUGAUGCAGCGAUGCCGCGUGAGUGAAGAAGGCCCUUGGGUUGUAAAGCUCUUUCGUCGGGGAAGAAAAUGACUGUACCCGAAUAAGAAGGUCCGGCUAACUUCGUGCCAGCAGCCGCGGUAAUACGAAGGGACCUAGCGUAGUUCGGAAUUACUGGGCUUAAAGAGUUCGUAGGUGGUUGAAAAAGUUAGUGGUGAAAUCCCAGAGCUUAACUCUGGAACUGCCAUUAAAACUUUUCAGCUAGAGUAUGAUAGAGGAAAGCAGAAUUUCUAGUGUAGAGGUGAAAUUCGUAGAUAUUAGAAAGAAUACCAAUUGCGAAGGCAGCUUUCUGGAUCAUUACUGACACUGAGGAACGAAAGCAUGGGUAGCGAAGAGGAUUAGAUACCCUCGUAGUCCAUGCCGUAAACGAUGUGUGUUAGACGUUGGAAAUUUAUUUUCAGUGUCGCAGGGAAACCGAUAAACACACCGCCUGGGGAGUACGACCGCAAGGUUAAAACUCAAAUGAAUUGACGGGGACCCGCACAAGUAGCGGAGCGUGUGGUUU
rnacentral:rRNA from 1 species